rnacentral:rRNA from 1 species
CCUACGGGUGGCAGCAGUGGGGAAUAUUGCGCAAUGGGCGCGAGCCUGACGCAGCGACGCCGCGUGAAGGAUGAAGGUCUUCGGAUCGUAAACCUCUGUCAGCAGGGAAGAACGGUCACUGUGCUAAUCAGCAGUGAAUUGACGGUACCUGCAAAGGAAGCACCGGCUAACUCCGUGCCAGCAGCCGCGGUAAUACGGAGGGUGCGAGCGUUAAUCGGAAUUGCUGGGCGUAAAGCGAUCGUAGGCGGUAUGUCAAGUCAAGGGUGAAAUCCCCGCGCUCAACGUGGGAACUGCCUUUGAAACUGGCAAUCUUGAGUGGGGUAGAGGUGAGCGGAAUUCGAGGUGUAGGAGUGAAAUCCGUAGAUAUCGGGAGGAACAGCAGGGGCGAAGGCGACUAUCUGGAACAUAACUGACGCUGAGGAGCGAAAGCGUGGGUAGCAAACAGGAUUAGAUACCCUUGUAGUC